UCUCCGUAGGUGAACCUGCGGAGGGAUCAUUACACAAAUAUGAAGGCGGGCUGGAACCUCUCGGGGUUACAGCCUUGCUGAAUUAUUCACCCUUGUCUUUUGCGUACUUCUUGUUUCCUCGGUGGCGCAAGCUGCCGAUUGGACAAACCAAAACCUUUUUUGUAAUUGCAAUCAGCGUCUGAAAAUAAUCUAAUUAUUUACAACUUUCAACAACGGAUCUCUUGGUUCUG
rnacentral:misc_RNA from 1 species